UUAAAAUGAGAGUUUGAUCCUGGCUCAGGACGAACGCUGGCGGCGUGCCUAAUACAUGCAAGUCGAACGAAACUUUCUUACACCGAAUGCUUGCAUUCACCGUAAGAAGUUGAGUGGCGGACGGGUGAGUAACACGUGGGUAACCUGCCUAAAAGAAGGGGAUAACACUUGGAAACAGGUGCUAAUACCGUAUAUCUCUAAGGAUCGCAUGAUCCUUAGAUGAAAGAUGGUUCUGCUAUCGCUUUUAGAUGGACCCGCGGCGUAUUAACUAGUUGGUGGGGUAACGGCCUACCAAGGUGAUGAUACGUAGCCGAACUGAGAGGUUGAUCGGCCACAUUGGGACUGAGACACGGCCCAAACUCCUACGGGAGGCAGCAGUAGGGAAUCUUCCACAAUGGACGCAAGUCUGAUGGAGCAACGCCGCGUGAGUGAAGAAGGUCUUCGGAUCGUAAAACUCUGUUGUUAGAGAAGAACACGAGUGAGAGUAACUGUUCAUUCGAUGACGGUAUCUAACCAGCAAGUCACGGCUAACUACGUGCCAGCAGCCGCGGUAAUACGUAGGUGGCAAGCGUUGUCCGGAUUUAUUGGGCGUAAAGGGAACGCAGGCGGUCUUUUAAGUCUGAUGUGAAAGCCUUCGGCUUAACCGGAGUAGUGCAUUGGAAACUGGAAGACUUGAGUGCAGAAGAGGAGAGUGGAACUCCAUGUGUAGCGGUGAAAUGCGUAGAUAUAUGGAAGAACACCAGUGGCGAAAGCGGCUCUCUGGUCUGUAACUGACGCUGAGGUUCGAAAGCGUGGGUAGCAAACAGGAUUAGAUACCCUGGUAGUCCACGCCGUAAACGAUGAAUGCUAGGUGUUGGAGGGUUUCCGCCCUUCAGUGCCGCAGCUAACGCAAUAAGCAUUCCGCCUGGGGAGUACGACCGCAAGGUUGAAACUCAAAGGAAUUGACGGGGGCCCGCACAAGCGGUGGAGCAUGUGGUUUAAUUCGAAGCAACGCGAAGAACCUUACCAGGUCUUGACAUCCUUUG
rnacentral:rRNA from 1 species